AAUCCAUCACAGACCUCCUCCCAUCUGCCAUCGAUCCCCAAGCUUGCUGCUACAGACAGAGCUCAAGACCCCAGAUACCAUAACUCACGGACUGGAAGACUCAGCAGAAUAUAAAAGGUACCAGGAGACCACUUCCUUGAGAUCCUUCUAGAUCCCUUCCUUUGGGCCUCUCGCUGCAAGAAAGACAUGGAGGCCCCGGAAUGUGUUCAGAGAAGGGCAACAGAGCUGUGAACAGUCUAGAGCAGAGGUCUGGGGGAGCUGGGAUGGUUCAGUCUGGAGAAGAGGAAGCUCAUUGCUAAAACAUAACCCGUUGAGAGGCACUGUGCAGUUGGAAAGUCCCACUCUGCCACAGACAGAAUACCAGGAAACUUCAGUCACAUUGGCAGCUCUGGAGCAAAGCUGGAGACCCCCCUGCCAGCCAUGCUGCAGCUCUGUCAGAGUUGGAUUCUGCAGGGCACUGCCGUUGUCCUAUGUGUCCAUAUGUGUCCUGCACAGCACCAGUGGGCUCUCAUAUUUCCUGCCCCAAGCUCACCUGCUCAGUAGGAGAUCUGCAGAAAAUUCCAUGUCCGUAUAGAGAAAAUAUCUGGUUCUUUCAAACUGAAGAUGUAAAGAUGACUAAAAGAAGGUCGGCCUGGAACCAAAAGGAAGAGCCUAAACACAUGAAGCUAAUGAGUGCAGAAAUACCAGAGUUGUUGUAGCAUGGACAUCAAGUACAUGGACACCAGGGACAUGGGCAAAAACACAUGGACACCAAUAACGUGGACACAAGUACACGGACAUCAGGAAUAUACGGACACAAGAACGUGGGAAAGCAUAGUCUGAAGCUCUCCACAGCAUCCAAGAAGGGCCAGGUCCCAUGCCCCAUUUUAGCAGUUUCAAGUGACAUGUGCAUCCCUGGCUCAUAAAUCUCAGCUAAUCAGAGCACUUCCUUGGGCCUCCAUAUCUUUGUUGAAUCACUUUCCCCAGGCCACGCUGACUCUCCAGACCUCUCACUCAGUGCUUCCAACAAGGGACACAACAAACUCCAGCCCAACACAGCUCCCCACAGCUCAGGCUGCUGUUGCCAUCGCUCACACACACAACCAGCCGACCGCACAGAGCCUGUGAGCUCCCACAGCACAAAGCUCCACUGUUAGAUGUGUCCGCUCGCGUGGUUUAACAUGCAUCAUCUACCAUGCUGACAAAGAUUAAAUGAGUCAUCCC
ensembl:lncRNA